UACGUAGGGUGCAAGCGUUAAUCGGAAUUACUGGGCGUAAAGCGUGCGCAGGCGGUGAUGUAAGACAGUUGUGAAAUCCCCGGGCUUAACCUGGGAAUGGCAUUUGGGACUGCAAGGCUUGAGUGCGGCAGAGGAGACUGGAAUUCCUGGUGUAGCAGUGAAAUGCGUAGAUAUCAGGAGGAACACCGAUGGCGAAGGCAGGUCUCUGGGCUGACACUGACGCUCAUGCACGAAAGCGUGGGGAGCAAACAGG
rnacentral:rRNA from 1 species